CUUUGUCCUAGCCGGGGAGGGGAUUGGAAGGGGUUGGCCGAGGCGGGCGGAGACGGCGGAGGGAAGGGGCCUCCUCGCCGGUGAUUAGCGGUUGGUCGGCCAACCGGAGAUGGAGCGUGGCGCUUGAUUGCUGGAGGCGUGCGUCACAGAGAGGGCCGCGGGCUGGAGAGGAACUCAGCGGAGCUCCCCGUCGUGCUCGCCGCCAACAAGCACCCAUGCUGGGGGAGGUAGUAUUUGCCGGCGUCGGUGGGGCGCAAGGUCCGACUGCGCUGACCGUCGCUCAUCGCGUCUAAAUUUUGGGGUUUGGUUGUCUGAGGACUUUGAAAGCUGAGUGGUUAUAUUUCACAUCUCCGAGCCAAAGUUGUCCCACACUUACUCAACAAGUUCUCCCACACUAGUGUCAUUUUAAGUACUCUCAGGGGUUAGUGUCAUUUUUUAGUUAUGUUAUUAGUUUCAGUGUUAGGUGUCAUUUUGUUCAGUUUUGUGUGUUACCACAUAGGUAGGUUAGUUAGUAUUCACUGUUCAGUCUUAAUUUAGUAUUCAUUGUUUCAGACCUAAGUCUACCACAGCCUACAACCACGAAAAAUUUGUUCUGCUUAUCUAGACUGUUUUCUUAUUUAUGAGUAUUUAGACCUUCAGCUACUUCAGUCCUUGUUCGAUCUUCUCGAAUAAAGCUGUCCAUCCUAGUUGCUUAGUUUGUCAAGAAAUCCCAGGUAGGUUAGCAAGUUUGUUCAUACAGUUUUCAGUUUAUCUGCAUUUUGUCAUCUUACUAAUUUGGCCUUCAUAUUUAUUGCUUCACUUCAUUUUUUACAGAUCAGAUGCACGCUGGAAAUGGACCAAAUGGGGCGUCAGUGGUGUUGAAUCCCAUCACAACAGAUACAUGCUUUUGACGCUCAAAGAUACAACUCAAGGAGGAAGAUCAUUUUUUGUGGGUCUGCACUAAUAAGCCUACUGACACCUGUGUCGCUUCCAGCGGCUGUAGCAGCCAAGGAGUGGUUGUUUUACGAGGGCGGAGUUUAAGAAACAACUUUUUGAAGAUAAUUGUUGUCAUAUGCUAUUCUGGCAAGAUCUCUGUUCCCAUCAUUGUUUUUUAUUGAAGUUACUGUCAGGUUUUGUAUGCGUUUUCAUCAGUCUUCAGCACAAGUAGCAUCAGUCUUCAGAGUUUUUUCUUCAUCCUAAUUUUUGACUUUUUUCUACAUUUUCCCAUAGGGGAACAACAAGAUGUUUCUUCUUCAGUCUUAUUUUUGAGGUAUCUAAUUCUUCCUUACGGCAAAUGUAUGGUCAAGUUCUUUUUUUUUCAGUUUUUGUUUUGUAGUCUUAGACAAUACAUUUUUUCUAGGUAAAAUAUGUACA